rnacentral:rRNA from 1 species
UGGGGAAUAUUGCACAAUGGGCGCAAGCCUGAUGCAGCCAUGCCGCGUGUGUGAAGAAGGCCUUCGGGUUGUAAAGCACUUUCAGCGGGGAGGAAGGCGGUGAGGUUAAUAACCUCAUCGAUUGACGUUACCCGCAGAAGAAGCACCGGCUAACUCCGUGCCAGCAGCCGCGGUAAUACGGAGGGUGCAAGCGUUAAUCGGAAUUACUGGGCGUAAAGCGCACGCAGGCGGUCUGUCAAGUCGGAUGUGAAAUCCCCGGGCUCAACCUGGGACUGCAUUCGAAACUGGCAGGCUAGAGUCUUGUAGAGGGGGGUAGAAUUCCAGGUGUAGCGGUGAAAUGCGUAGAGAUCUGGAGGAAUACCGGUGGCGAAGGCGGCCCCCUGGACAAAGACUGACGCUCAGGUGCGAAAGCGUGGGGAGCAAACAGG